rnacentral:rRNA from 1 species
UGGGGAAUAUUGCGCAAUGGGCGAAAGCCUGAUCCAGCGACGCCGCGUGGGUGAAGAAGGCCUGCGGGUUGUAAAGCCCUUUCAGUGGGAAAGAAAAGCCUCGUCCUAACAUGGCGGGGUCCUGACGUUACCCAUAGAAGAAGCACCGGCUAACUCUGUGCCAGCAGCCGCGGUAAUACAGAGGGUGCGAGCGUUAAUCGGAAUUACUGGGCGUAAAGCGCGCGUAGGCGGCUUCGCAAGUCGGGUGUGAAAUCCCCAGGCUUAACCUGGGAACUGCAUUCGAGACUGCGUUGCUAGAGUAUGGGAGAGGGAAGUGGAAUUUCCGGUGUAGCGGUGAAAUGCGUAGAUAUCGGAAGGAACAUCAGUGGCGAAAGCGACUUCCUGGACCAAUACUGACGCUCAUGUGCGAAAGCGUGGGGAGCAA